rnacentral:rRNA from 1 species
UACGUAGGGGGCAAGCGUUGUCCGGAUUCAUUGGGCGUAAAGAGCGUGUAGGCGGCCAGGUAGGUCGGUUGUGAAAACUGGAGGCUCAACCUUCAGAGGUCGACCGAAAACCAUCUGGCUAGAGUCCGGGAAGAGGCGAGUGGAACUCCUGGUGUAGCGGUGGAAAUGCGCAGAUAUCAGGAAGAACACCAACGGCGAAGGCAGCUCGCUGGGACGGUACUGACGCUGAGACGCGAAAAGCGUGGGGAGCGAACAGG